GGAAGGAUCAUUAUCCAUCUAAAACCAGGUGCGGUCGCGGCCUCCGGGUGAAAGCCUGGGUGGUUUCGCGCCGCAUUCCUGCACCCUUUUUUUACGAGCACCUUUGUUCUCCUUCGGCGGGGCAACCUGCCGCUGGAACUUAAUAAAACCUUUUUUGCAUCUAGCAUUACCUGUUCUGAUACAAAUAAUCGUUACAACUUUCAACAAUGGAUCUCUUGGCUCUGGCAUCGAUGAAGAACGCAGCGAAAUGCGAUAAGUAGUGUGAAUUGCAGAAUUCAGUGAAUCAUCGAAUCUUUGAACGCACAUUGCGCCCCUCGGUAUUCCGUGGGGCAUGCCUGUUCGAGCGUCAUCUACACCCUCAAGCUCUGCUUGGUGUUGGGCGUCUGUCCCGCCUCUGCGCGCGGACUCGCCCCAAAUUCAUUGGCAGCGGUCUUUGCCUCCUCUCGCGCAGCACAAUUGCGUCUGCGAGGGGGCGUGGCCCGCAUCCACGAAGCAACAUUACCGUCUUUGACCUCGGAUCAGGUAGGGAUACCCGCUGAACUUAAGCAUAUCAAUAAGCGGAGGAAAAGAAACCAACAGGGAUUGCCCUAGUAACGGCGAGUGAAGCGGCAACAGCUCAAAUUUGAAAUCUGGCUCUCUUUGGGGGUCCGAGUUGUAAUUUGCAGAGGAUGCUUUGGCAUUGGCAGCGGUCUAAGUUCCUUGGAACAGGACAUCACAGAGGGUGAGAAUCCCGUACGUGGUCGCUUGCCUUUGCCGUGUAAAGCUCCUUCGACGAGUCGAGUUGUUUGGGAAUGCAGCUCUAAAUGGGAGGUAAAUUUCUUCUAAAGCUAAAUACUGGCCAGAGACCGAUAGCGCACAAGUAGAGUGAUCGAAAGAUGAAAAGUACUUUGGAAAGAGAGUCAAAAAGCACGUGAAAUUGUUGAAAGGGAAGCGCUUGCAGCCAGACUUGCCCGCAGUUGCUCACCUAGGCUUUCGCCUGGGGCACUCUUCUGCGGGCAGGCCAGCAUCAGUUUGGGCGGUUGGAUAAAGGCCUCUGUCACGUAUCUUCCUUCGGGAUGACCUUAUAGGGGAGGCGUAAUGCAACCAGCCCGGACUGAGGUCCGCGCAUCUGCUAGGAUGCUGGCGUAAUGGCUGUAAGCGGCCCGUCUUGAAACACGGACCAAGGAGUCUAACAUCUAUGCGAGUGUUUGGGUGUCAAGCCCGAGCGCGUAAUGAAAGUGAACGGAGGUGGGAACCUUUUAGGUGCACCAUCGACCGAUCCUGAUGUCUUCGGAUGGAUUUGAGUAAGAGCAUAGCUGUUGGGACCCGAAAGAUGGUGAACUAUGCUUGAAUAGGGUGAAGCCAGAGGAAACUCUGGUGGAGGCUCGCAGCGGUUCUGACGUGCAAAUCGAUCGUCAAAUUUGGGCAUAGGGGCGAAAGACUAAUCGAACCAUCUAGUAGCUGGUUCCUGC
rnacentral:misc_RNA from 1 species